UACGAAGGGGGCUAGCGUUGCUCGGAAUCACUGGGCGUAAAGCGCACGUAGGCGGAUCUUUAAGUCAGGGGUGAAAUCCCGGAGCUCAACUCCGGAACUGCCUUUGAUACUGGGGAUCUUGAGUUCGAGAGAGGUGAGUGGAACUGCGAGUGUAGAGGUGAAAUUCGUAGAUAUUCGCAAGAACACCAGUGGCGAAGGCGGCUCACUGGCCCGGUACUGACGCUGAGGUGCGAAAGCGGUGGGGAGCAAACAGGG
rnacentral:rRNA from 1 species